ACUCAAAGGAAUAGACGGGGACCCGCACAAGCGGUGGAGUAUGUGGUUUAAUUCGACGCUACGCGCAGAACCUUACCAGCUCUUGACAUGGAACGUGUGAGGAUCAGAGAUGAUCUUCUUCAGUUAGAUGGCGUUCACACAGGUGCUGCAUGGCUGUCGUCAGCUCGUGUCGUGAGAUGUUGGGUUAAGUCCCGCAACGAGCGCAACCCUCGUCGCUAGUUGCCAUCAGGUAAUGCUGGGCACUUUAGCGAGACUGCCGGUGGUAAGCCGGAUGAAGGUGGGGAUGAGGUCAGGUCAUCAUGGCCCUUAUGGGCUGGGCUACACACGUACUACAAUGGUCGUGACAAUGGGAUGCGAAGGGGUAACCUGGAGCCAAUCCUCAAAAGCGGCCUCAGUUCAGAUUGUCCCCUGCAACUCGGGGGCAUGAAGUCGGAAUCGCUAGUAAUCGUGGAUCAGCAUGCCACGGUGAAUUCGUUCUCGGGUCUUGUACACACCGCCCGU
rnacentral:rRNA from 1 species